UACGGAGGGUGCAAACGUUGCUCGGAAUCAUUGGGCGUAAAGCGCACGUAGGCGGCUAGAUAAGCCGGGUGUGAAAGCCCUGGGCUCAACCCAGGAAGUGCAUUCGAAACUGUCUAGCUUGAAUCUCGGAGGGGGUCAGAGAAUUCCCGGUGUAGAGGUGAAAUUCGUAGAUAUCGGGAGGAAUACCAGUGGCGAAGGCGCUGACCUGGACGAAGAUUGACGCUGAGGUGCGAAAGCGCGGGGAGCAAACAGG
rnacentral:rRNA from 1 species